rnacentral:tRNA from 1 species
CGGGGUAUAGCUCAGUGAUAGAGUGUGUGCUUAGCAUGCAUGAGGUCCUGGAUUCAAUCCCCAGUACCUCCA